rnacentral:rRNA from 1 species
GUGGUACCAUCAAUCCUUCCGGCUAUUGACCGAAAGUCCUUUUUCCCACUUGACAGAGCUUUACGACCCGAAAGCCUUCUUCACUCACGCGGCGUUGCUGCGUCAGGGUUUCCCCCAUUGCGCAAAAUUCCUC